rnacentral:rRNA from 1 species
CAUAGCGACUAUCGUGGCAUAUCAAUAAGCGGAGGAAAAGAAACUAACAAGGAUUCCCUAGUAACGGCGAGUGAAGCGGGAAGAGCUCAGAUUUGAAAUCUUAAAGGUUUUACCUUGACGAAUUGUAGUUUAAAGAAGUGUUUUCUGUUGAAGUUUCGGUAAAAGUUCUUUGGAAUAGGACAUCAUAGAGGGUGAGAAUCCCGUAUUUGACCAUUACUUUCCAGCUGUGUGAUACACUUUCAAAGAGUCGGAUUGUUUGGGAAUGCAGUCCAAAAUGGGUGGUAAAUUUCAUCUAAAGCUAAAUAUUGGCGAGAGACCGAUAGCGAACAAGUACCGUGAGGGAAAGAUGAAAAGAACUUUGAAAAGAGAGUUAAACAGUACGUGAAAUUGUCAAAAGGGAAGCGUUUGACACCAGUGUUGUUUUCUCGAAAAUCAAUUAAAAAGAGUUGGAUUUUGUAUUGUUAAGACCUUAUCAGCUUACUGUACUUUUUUCUUGCUCUUUUUAAUGCACUUUUCGUUUAACAAGUCAACAUCAAUUUCUUUUGUUGUAAAAGGGUCAUUGGAAGGUGGCUUUCACUUCGGUGAAAGUGUUUAUAGCCUUUGGCUUCUACAAUCGGAGAGAUUGAGGUCUGCAGCGUAGAUCCUUCGGGGUUAGAUACGUAGAUGCUAAGUUAUAGUUUUUUAUAGACAACUUGUUGACUAUGAUUAAUCAUGUAGCUUACUCGUUUACGCUAUUUUACCUACGCUUAGGAUGUUGAUAUGCAUGACUGAUAU